UGGUGGGUAGUUUGACUGGGGCGGUCUCCUCCUAAAGAGUAACGGAGGAGCACGAAGGUUGGCUAAUCCUGGUCGGACAUCAGGAGGUUAGUGCAAUGGCAUAAGCCAGCUUGACUGCGAGCGUGACGGCGCGAGCAGGUGCGAAAGCAGGUCAUAGUGAUCCGGUGGUUCUGAAUGGAAGGGCCAUCGCUCAACGGAUAAAAGGUACUCCGGGGAUAACAGGCUGAUACCGCCCAAGAGUUCAUAUCGACGGCGGUGUUUGGCACCUCGAUGUCGGCUCAUCACAUCCUGGGGCUGAAGUAGGUCCCAAGGGUAUGGCUGUUCGCCAUUUAAAGUGGUACGCGAGCUGGGUUUAGAACGUCGUGAGACAGUUCGGUCCCUAUCUGCCGUGGGCGCUGGAGAACUGAGGGGGGCUGCUCCUAGUACGAGAGGACCGGAGUGGACGCAUCACUGGUGUUCGGGUUGUCAUGCCAAUGGCACUGCCCGGUAGCUAAAUGCGGAAGAGAUAAGUGCUGAAAGCAUCUAAGCACGAAACUUGCCCCGAGAUGAGUUCUCCCUGAGACUUUAGGUCUCCUGAAGGAACGUUGAAGACGACGACGUUGAUAGGCCGGGUGUGUAAGCGCAGCGAUGCGUUGAGCUAACCGGUACUAAUGAACCGUGAGGCUUAACCUUACAACGCCG
rnacentral:rRNA from 5 species